GAUGAACGCUGGCGGCGUGCCUAAUACAUGCAAGUCGAGCGAACGGACGAGAAGCUUGCUUCUCUGAUGUUAGCGGCGGACGGGUGAGUAACACGUGGAUAACCUACCUAUAAGACUGGGAUAACUUCGGGAAACCGGAGCUAAUACCGGAUAAUAUUUUGAACCGCAUGGUUCAAAAGUGAAAGACGGUCUUGCUGUCACUUAUAGAUGGAUCCGCGCUGCAUUAGCUAGUUGGUAAGGUAACGGCUUACCAAGGCAACGAUGCAUAGCCGACCUGAGAGGGUGAUCGGCCACACUGGAACUGAGACACGGUCCAGACUCCUACGGGAGGCAGCAGUAGGGAAUCUUCCGCAAUGGGCGAAAGCCUGACGGAGCAACGCCGCGUGAGUGAUGAAGGUCUUCGGAUCGUAAAACUCUGUUAUUAGGGAAGAACAUAUGUGNUAGUAACUGUGCACAUCUUGACGGUACCUAAUCAGAAAAGCACGGCUUACUACGUGCCAGCAGCCGCGGUAAUACGUAGGUGGCAAGCGUCAUCCGGAUUAUUGGGCGUAAGCGCGCGUAGGCGGUUUUUUAGUCUGAUGUGAAAGCCCACGGCUCAACCGUGGAGGGUCAUUGGAAACUGGAAAACUUGAGUGCAGAAGAGGAAAGUGGAAUUCCAUGUGUAGCGGUGAAAUGCUCAGAGAUAUGGAGGAACACCAGUGGCGAAGGCGACUUUCUGGUCUGUAACUGACGCUGAUGUGCGAAAGCGUGGGGAUCAAACAGGAUUAGAUACCCUGGUAGUCCACGCCGUAAACGAUGAGUGCUAAGUGUUAGGGGGUUUCCGCCCCUUAGUGCUGCAGCUAACGCAUUAAGCACUCCGCCUGGGGAGUACGACCGCAAGGUUGAAACUCAAAGGAAUUGACGGGGACCCGCACAAGCGGUGGAGCAUGUGGUUUAAUUCGAAGCAACGCGAAGAACCUUACCAAAUCUUGACAUCCUUUGACAACUCUAGAGAUAGAGCCUUCCCCUUCGGGGGACAAAGUGACAGGUGGUGCAUGGUUGUCGUCAGCUCGUGUCGUGAGAUGUUGGGUUAAGUCCCGCAACGAGCGCAACCCUUAAGCUUAGUUGCCAUCAUUAAGUUGGGCACUCUAAGUUGACUGCCGGUGACAAACCGGAGGAAGGUGGGGAUGACGUCAAAUCAUCAUGCCCCUUAUGAUUUGGGCUACACACGUGCUACAAUGGACAAUACAAAGGGCAGCGAAACCGCGAGGUCAAGCAAAUCCCAUAAAGUUGUUCUCAGUUCGGAUUGUAGUCUGCAACUCGACUACAUGAAGCUGGAAUCGCUAGUAAUCGUAGAUCAGCAUGCUACGGUGAAUACGUUCCCGGGUCU
rnacentral:rRNA from 1 species